UGCGAGGGUAGCCCAGACCGGUCAAAGGCGUUGGAUUUAGGGUCCAAUCCAGCAGUGGUUCGUGGGUUCGAAUCCCACCCCUCGCAU
rnacentral:tRNA from 1 species